rnacentral:snRNA from 1 species
UUGCUUUAGCAGCACAUAUACUAAAAUUGGAACAAUACAGAGAAGAUUAGCAUUGCCCCUG